CUUGAUCUUGGAUGAACGGAUGAUGAACGAUGGUGCUUUCUUCAAGGGCCGUCGGGGCUUGAUCUUGAAUUGGUGGAUGGUUGAUCCAAGGGCCGUCGGGGCUUGAUCUUGGAAGAACAAUGAACGAAGAACGAAGAACGAAGAACACUUUCUUCAAGGGCCGUCGGGGCUUGAUCUUGAAUUGGUGGAUGAUUGUUGAUCCAAAGGGCCGUUGGGGCUUGAUCUUAGGAUGAACGAUGAACGAAGAACGCUUUCUUGAUUCUUCGGGAACCUGGAUGCUUGAGAGCUUCGGAGUUUCAGAGCUUCAGAGCUUCAAGAGUUU
rnacentral:lncRNA from 1 species